rnacentral:rRNA from 1 species
UAAGGUAUGCAAGUCGAACGAACUCGCUACGCUNAUAGUCGCUUGCGACUAUAAGUUAGCGUGUGAGUGGCAAACGGGUGAGUAACACGUGGAUAACCUGCCUUAAAGUCAUGAACAGCUCAUCGAAAGAUGGGAUAAUACAUGAUAGUCUUACAAUUUCUAUCCGACUUUGUAAGUAAAGCUCCGGCGCUUUAAGAGGGGUCCGCGUCCUAUCAGCUUGUUGGUGAGGUAAUAGCUCACCAAGGCUAAGACGGGUAGCUGGCGUGAGAGCGCGGUCAGCCACCAUGGAACUGAGACACGGUCCAUACUCCUACGGGAGGCAGCAAUUAGGAAUCUUGCGCAAUGGGGGCAACCCUGACGCAGCGACACAGCGUGGAGGAUGACGGUCUUCGGAUUGUAAACUCCUUUUAUGUGGGAAGAAUAGAUGACGGUACCAUAUGAAUAAGCACCUGCUAACUACGUGCCAGAAGCAUCGGUGAUACGUAGGGUGCGAACGUUAUCCGGAUUUAUUGGGCGUAUAGAGAUGCGUAGGCGUUUCUGUAAGUCUAAAGUUAAAGCCCACGGCUCAACCGUGGAAAAGCUUUGGAAACUGCAGAAAUUGAGACAGGAAGAGGCGAAUGGAAUUCCCAGUGGAGCGGUGAAAUGCGUUGAUAUUGGGAGGAACAUCAGUGGCGAAGGCGAUUCGCUGGUCCUUGUCUGACGCUGAGGCUCGAAAGCGUGGGUAGCAAAACGGAUUAGAUACCCGUGUAGUCCACGCCGUAAACUAUGGAUGCUAGGUGUUCGGUACAACUCUUUUUUCCUUCGGGAAAGAAUGGAAGUAUUGAGUGCCGCAGCUAACGCGUUAAGCAUCCCGCCUGGGAAGUACGG